UACAGAGGUCUCAAGCGUUGUUCGGAUUCAUUGGGCGUAAAGGGUGCGUAGGCGGCGCGGUAAGUCGGGUGUGAAAUCUCGGAGCUUAACUCCGAAACUGCAUUCGAUACUGCCGUGCUUGAGGACUGGAGAGGAGACUGGAAUUUACGGUGUAGCGGUGAAAAUGCGUAGAUAUCGUAAGGAAGACCAGUGGCGAAGGCGGGUCUCUGGACAGUUCCUGACGCUGAGGCACGAAGGUCAGGGGGAGCAAACGGG
rnacentral:rRNA from 1 species